rnacentral:rRNA from 1 species
UCCAGACUCCUACGGGAGGCAGCAGUGAGGAAUAUUGGUCAAUGGGCGAGAGCCUGAACCAGCCAAGUCGCGUGAGGGAAGACGGUCCUAUGGAUUGUAAACCUCUUUUGCCGGGGAGCAAAAAGCGGUACGUGUACCGCAUCGAGAGUACCCGGAGAAAAAGCAUCGGCUAACUCCGUGCCAGCAGCCGCGGUAAUACGGAGGAUGCGAGCGUUAUCCGGAUUUAUUGGGUUUAAAGGGUGCGCAGGCGGUCUGUUAAGUCAGCGGUCAAAGCCCGGGGCUCAACCCCGGUCCGCCGUUGAAACUGGCGGUCUCGAGUUGGAGAGAAGUAUGCGGAAUGCGCGGUGUAGCGGUGAAAUGCAUAGAUAUCGCGCAGAACUCCGAUUGCGAAGGCAGCAUACCGGCGCUCAACUGACGCUCAUGCACGAAAGUGUGGGUAUCGAACAGGAUUAGAUACCCGAGUA